GGCGCCCAGGCCCCCAGCCCCGCGCCCCGGGGUGUCCCCGACUGUCCGCGCUCCCCACGUCCGCGCCGUCCUCAGCCUCCCCCGAGCACCCCGCGGCCCGGACCCGCCCAGGGCCAAGACGCCCGGGGUCAGACUCUCGGGAAGGAGGGAAGGACCCGGGGCCGCAGCGGGCGGGGGAGCGCAGGGGGCGCGCGCUGGCCCCACCGGGAAGCGCACAGGCCGGGCGGCGAGCGAGCACCCCGAGCCCCUGGCAGGAGCGCCCCGCGGGCUCCAGGAAGGAGAAGAUGGAGGAGGCAGAAGGGAGGCGGGAGACGCAGGCCCGCGGAGCCCGGAGGACGCAGACUGCUUAGGAUCGGCGCCCUGAGCCCUGGCUCCCGAGGUCCCGGGUCGCUGGCACACUCCCCUCGUGAGCUUCUCAGCCAACCCUGUGAGGUGACCGCGGAGCAGGCCUAGCUCCAUCUUGAAUCCAGUUUGCCUUGAACGCUGCUCCCUCCCCUGCUGCUCCACCGAAGACCUGUUUGCACGCUGCAAGCCCGCUGGGGAACCCGCUGGGGAACCCGCUGGGGAACUAGCCGACCUUUAGGUUUUUAGGUUUUCAUAGGAACACUGAAUUAAGACAGGACACAUGGCACAAAAUAAACUAAUCGGCGUAUUCUUGCAGAUCACCCCAUAAGCACGUGAUAAGCUUAUAUGAUUCUGUUUAAGGCUUCCUAGGGAGCUCGAACCGGACGCAUGUUCACUGAAGACCCCUGAUGGAUUUGCUCAAGCCCCUGUGGCACCUCAGCCAGUUUCUGUUUCCUGUUUCCCUCCCGCUUUCAAAGCCCCUCUUUGUGCCCAUAGGAAGAUGGUUUCUUGGGACAUCAGUCCAUCAUCUUUUUUUGUUAGAUGGCUUUCUGGAAUAAAGUUGCUUUCAUUGCUGCAACA